CAAAAUAGCUGAGAUCUGAAGAUCACCAUUACAGCUGGUUCAGAGGUCAUGAACUCAUUUCCAGCGAGGAAAAAAAAUCAACUCAUACUCUAGAUCACUUGGAUGUGUUUGUGAAAAGCAAUCAGUAGAAGUACUACUACUAAGAAAUCAUUGAAGACAACUUUUCCAGAAGGGAUACAAGAUAUAGAUCAUGUAGGCAGUUGGAGCAACAUGAGCAUAGAGUGACAUUCACAACUCAGAUUUAUCUUUCUUUCAGAUAUUUGACAUU